UGGUGGAGUGAUUUGUCUGGUUAAUUCCGAUAACGAACGAGAUCUUAGCCUGCUAAAUAGUCGGGUGAACACACUCACGUGGUUCGCUUCCUGGCUUCUUAGAGGGACUCUACUCAAAAGGGUAGGGAAGUUUGAGGCAAUAACA
rnacentral:rRNA from 1 species